GAAAUGCGAUAAGUAGUGUGAAUUGCAGAAUUCAGUGAAUCAUCGAAUCUUUGAACGCACAUUGCGCCCUUUGGUAUUCCAAAGGGCAUGCCUGUUCGAGCGUCAUUUGUACCCUCAAGCUUUGCUUGGUGUUGGGCGUCUUGUCUCCAGUUCGCUGGAGACUCGCCUUAAAGUAAUUGGCAGCCGGCCUACUGGUUUCGGAGCGCAGCACAAGUCGCGCUCUCUUCCAGCCAAGGUCAGCAUCCACAAAGCCUUUUUUCAACUUUUGACCUCGGAUCAGGUAGGGAUACCCGCUGAACUUAA
rnacentral:misc_RNA from 1 species